rnacentral:misc_RNA from 1 species
AGCAGUAGCAACUCCAAGCCCAGAUGGUUGCCCUUAGAAGCUAAUCCAGAAGUCAUGAACAAGUAUGUCGAUGGACUUGGUGUAGGAAACUCUUUUCAAUUUUGUGACGUCUUUGGAUUAGAUCCUGACCUAUUGAUGAUGAUACCUCAGCCUUGUGCUGCCCUCGUUAUGUUGUUCCCAAUCACAGACAGGUACAAAGCUUUUUGAAAAGAGGAAGAAGAGAAGAUUGAGAAAGAAGGACAGGUAAGAAUUUAGCAAUGAGGUGAAGAA